rnacentral:rRNA from 1 species
UACGGAGGGGGCAAGCGUUAUUCGGAAUUAUUGGGCGUAAAGGGCGCGUAGGCGGCUAGAUGUGUCAAAGGUGAAAUCCCUCGGCUCAACUGAGGAACUGCCUUUGAAACUGUCUGGCUUGAGGCCGGGAGAGGGUAGCGGAAUUCCCAGUGUAGCGGUGAAAUGCGUAGAUAUUGGGAGGAAUACCGGUGGCGAAGGCGGCAUCCUGGACCGACAUUGACGCUGAGGAGCGAAAGCUAGGGGAGCAAACGGG